AGUGAACGCUGGCGGUAGGCCUAACACAUGCAAGUCGAACGGCAGCACAGGAGAGCUUGCUCUCUGGGUGGCGAGUGGCGGACGGGUGAGGAAUACAUCGGAAUCUACUUUUUCGUGGGGGAUAACGUAGGGAAACUUACGCUAAUACCGCAUACGACCUACGGGUGAAAGCAGGGGACCUUCGGGCCUUGCGCGAUUGAAUGAGCCGAUGUCGGAUUAGCUAGUUGGCGGGGUAAAGGCCCACCAAGGCGACGAUCCGUAGCUGGUCUGAGACGAUGAUCAGCCACACUGGAACUGAGACAAGGUCCAGACUCCUACGGGAGGCAGCAGUGGGGAAUAUUGGACAAUGGGCGCAAGCCUGAUCCAGCCAUACCGCGUGGGUGAAGAAGGCCUUCGGGUUGUAAAGCCCUUUUGUUGGGAAAGAAAUCCAGCUGGCUAAUACCCGGUUGGGAUGACGGUACCCAAAGAAUAAGCACCGGCUAACUUCGUGCCAGCCGCCGCGGUAA
rnacentral:rRNA from 1 species